rnacentral:rRNA from 1 species
UAAUGUAUGGGGAUCUGCCCGAUAGAGGGGAAUAACUACUGGAAACGGUGGCUAAUACCGCAUAAUGUCUACGGACCAAAGCAGGGGCUCUUUGGACCUUGCACUAUCGGAUGAACCCAUAUGGGAUUAGCUAGUAGGUGGGGUAAAGGCUCACCUAGGCGACGAUCUCUAGCUGGUCUGAGAGGAUGAUCAGCCACACUGGGACUGAGACACGGCCCAG